UGGCUGUCUCAGGUCGUCUUUAGGAGGUUCUGACAAGUUAGGACAAUUUUCUUUGUUAAUGUAGACAAGCAGGAAAAAGUUGGAAAAGUGUAUAUUCAAAAAAUAUUGAUAUAGCCAUGUGAGGUCACUCGAGUAGUUUUCCUUGAAGUGGCUAUCAUGUAUAUUUAUAUAUACACAAUCAGGUUAAGCAACAAUGUAGGCUUCAUUUUCUUUCUCCUUUUUUUUCUUUUCUCCCUUUCUGGGGUAGGGUCAUACAUGCUGUAUCAUCAGCCAAGACAUGAGGAUUUAACAGGCACUUGGUUAAUAUCCAAAGAAUCUCAUUCCAGUGGCAGCUGCCUGUACCCUAUGUCGUCUUUCUAGACCAGACAGAGUCAAAUUUCCCCCUUGAUUUCCCUUGAUUUAGCAAGCAUGCAUCCUUUUUCCAAUGAUGAGCAAAAGAAAGGGAAAUAUUGCUUUCAAGUUGAGCAACUGGGGUAGUUUCAGCAGCAGACAGGCUGGAUAUUUAUCUUUGAUGAAGUUUUUCUGCAUUUUAUUUUAGCCCCUACUCCCUUAUUCCUCUCAAAAACUGCUUAUCUACAGCAUUGUUCAUAUUAAUUGUAAAGUUAGUGAUUGGUUAUAUUCUGACUAGAACCUACCAUUCUCCUUUCUUCCCUUCCCAACAAAAGCAAAAGCAAAAGAAAAAGAAAAUCCAACACCUUCCCCGUUAC
rnacentral:misc_RNA from 1 species